rnacentral:misc_RNA from 1 species
GUGGCAUAUUUUUUUUACCAGGAUCUGGUGAUUCGGAUUGCGACAUUUUAAACUACAGGCCGCAAUGUGUGCGAAUAAUUGGCAAAAGGCUCCCGCGGGUGCCUUUUUCUUU